GAAAUGUCUCAAUCGAGACCAUUUUCAAAUUCUACGCUAAAUUUCGGGCAAAUUGGCAGCAUUUUGCAAGCUAUUCCCAUUUUGUGUUUUUUUUAGGAAGAUAUUAGUUUGUGGAAAGGUUUCAAAAACCACAGAUUUUGAAAGGUUAGGGUUUGAACCAUUGUCUAUUGUCGUUAGUCUGCGGGAGGUGUAAAUGCCUUUGUCAAUCGUUGUUGCGCCUGUGUUUUAUGCAAAUGUCCCUUUUGUUUUUUCUCUUGAUUGUUAUCCAAUUUCCGGCAGUACGAAUUUCGUACAACCCAGACCGUGACACUUAGAAAAUUUUUCUCAAAACGCAGCCUCCAAACGCUGAAAUGACACGUGAUUUGCGGAACAAUCUGUCAACGCGUUUCUCAUAACUAUUUGCAUUUCGAAACUUGGCUCAGGCGCAUUUAUUAAUGUGAUCUUCUACUGUUAUGAAAAGAGGGAGUGUUAAACAAAAUAGCUCACAAAAUCAAAGCAAACGAUUUGGAAAUGGCUUUCUUUUGCAAAAUUAAGCAGAGGCUUUGUGACCAUAAUCAUAAUAAUGCUGAGGUGGUUAGGUACACUACAUAACCAUGCAAAAUUGUUUAUGUAACUCAAAAAACCUUUUCGUUGACGAUCUAGCUAUUGAUAAAAUUUGCAAUUUCUAAUUUAUUUCUUUAGAAAUGAGUCAUUUAAGUUUACCUUGGAAUACAAACUAAACUAAAAGAUAACGAUCAUUUUGAUAUCAAUUCAGCUCCCAUAAUCUUUGUUCAUGCUAAGUGCGCAAUUAAACUUGUUUCUGCAUACAAAAAGCAUGAAAUGCUGCCAAGGAUAUGCUACGGCAUGCCCAUUUCAAUCUACUAAUUACGUUUUCUGCUUUGGUAUAUAGAAUUGGUGACAGAGAAUAAUACACCGUAAAUUGAUAUGCCUAGAAAGCAUGCAAAUGUGUUGGAUAUGUUGAUAAACUGCUGGUCAGAAAAGUAAAUAGAGCUUUCCGCAAAUCAAUCAAUUAACCUUACUUAAUGAAAAAUGACACAGGCAAUAAUACAAACAUGCAUAUAAAGAUUGAAAAAAGGCAAAGGCAAGUGAUUAUGUUGACAACCUUGGAUCAGAAAGAUAAAAUAUUGUUACAAGUAAUGUUAAAUAAUUUCUAAAAUACGACUAGCUAAAACACGAAAUUAGCAAUGUCUUAGCUUUCUAAAAUAAUGUAAUUAUUAACGUUCGUUAAACCUUGUGAAAUUUAUAAAGGGGUAUCUUCUGCUUCUGUUUCUGUGUCAUUAUCGUCCUCUCCCAAAAAAGUCAAUGUUUUAGAAGUGAGGUGGUCAGCGGCCCUUUUUAUUUUUCUUGCUGAAUCAUCUGUGUUGUAGCGAAGGCGCUGAACUCGUGGUGAGUGGCUCAUGAGUCUUGCAACUGAAUUUCUUACUUCGUCCUCCUUCUCGUUGCACAUUAGCCAGUUUACGAGCGCUUUUCAGAGGGUCGUAGUUGUGAACUUCAAGCCCCCAUUGUGUCGCUGAAACGCCUUUUCGAUGUAAACAGUAAACGACUCAGAUGUGUCAAAUGGUUGCCCCUUGCCCUUCAUUAGAAGAAAAUCAUGUCUCUUACUCAACAUAAGCUUCUCCCUCUCCUCCUCAACAUAUUUACGUAGAUGUUGGUUGACAUAAUCGUAACUGGAGAUGUCCACUCUAUUGCACCCGUAUUUUUUCUUCGUUUUAAAAUCAUUUACAACCAUUGUAGUGCUGCCAUUUUCCUUAAAUAAAAUGUAGUUUUCUGAAACACUUCCCUGUUCCUCGUCAAAUAGUAUUUUUAGUUUCAUCAAAUCUGCAUUCCUUGAUGGGCUCACUGUGGUGAACAAUAAAAGUAUUACAAAAUCAUGGUAUAACCUUGCCUUUUGAUACCCAUCCAUCUCUUUCGACGAAAUUAUCCUGUCCCUCAUCAAUUUUAAUGUUUCUAAAACCUGUUUCCAUUCAAAGUUCUUUCUUUCAUCGGCUUCCGGGUACCUUUGUCUCCGCUCUCUCUCAUAGAGGCUCUAAAAAAACAGUGGUAAAUUUAAACUAAAAAUAUCAAAAAGCGAUGUGUAAAAUGUAUGUGUAAAUAGAAAGGAACGCAGGAUAUGCUGUCCGCUGAUUAAAAUAGGAAUAAUAGCCGCUAACUAAGCCACAGGACGGUGAAAAUCCAAUGUAGUCAAAAAGAAUUUCAAAAAAAAUUGAAUAUACUAAAUGACUCUACUUCGGCUGGCUUCAUCAACCAUUCUUGACAGUAGAAUUUAGGCAGCCAGAAUUUAAUGUUAUGAUAUAGAAUGAAAUGCAACUCAAGUUCCUAUUGUAGAAUUUCUAAUGAAAAGCGAAAAUAUAUAUAGCUAAGGUGAACUGGAAUACUCACUUGCAGUUGGGCCUGCAUGUGCCUCAAUUGUGUUAUUUCUGCAAUUUCAUGCCAACUUUUUGUUAGGCCCUCUUUUUUCAGAAUAUAUUUUGCUGCCACUAUCAGGCUUUGAAUAUGGUUGGCAACUGUACCCACGUUUAGCUCCCUCCUCAAUUCCGCCACAUAUGCCCUAACAAAGUUGAUGUUUGUAACAUCCUCCAUUUGUGGGGGUCUGUUAUAUGUCUCUUCUACAUGUUCAAAGAACUUCUUUAACCUUCUUGUGUGGCGUUCGAUUGUCCCUGCUGUCAUACCGUUUGAUGGUCUUAACGGGUUUAUUUCAUCCGUGUAGAAUUCCUGGAGCUUUUCGAAAAAUACUUCAAAUGAAGACACUCCAUCCUGCAUGCUUGAAGCUGCUUCGUAACUUGUACCCGCCUCCACAUUGGCGACUGCUGCUUGUGGUAGUUGAAGCACACUCUGCUUCUGUAGCAGCAAAUGAAGACUGUCUAAUGGGAUGACGUAAUGCCCACCUUUACGUGGUCCAAAUUUCUCUUCGAGCUUCAAGCGCAGGAUCCCCUCAGGUUUCUUGCAAUUUAUCUUCAAUCUGUGCAUUCUGCUGCGGAGAGUCGAGCUUUGUAUAUUUUUUGAGAACUCAGCCUUCACUUGAUCCAUGCUUAUCCACAAUGUUCCAUUUGAUUCAAAUGCCAACCAUCUUUUCUCUUGGCCUUCGGUUUAGAGGUAAUAUUCAUUAACGUUUAGAAUUUACAAAACAAAGAUAACCUCAGACAUCUUGAAGUACAGAGUCACAGAAUGUCUAACUCCAAUGCAAUACUUUGUGAGCUUUUCAAGGAGAUUCACAGUUUUCAUAAGUCGUAGACUCUGUCAAUUGGUAAUAAACGAUUACAGACAUUGAUGCUAAAGGCCUUAACAAUUUAGUUGAAACAUUUUAAGAGACAUUACCAAAGAAUUAAAGAAUCACCCUUUGAAGUUAUUAAGCUACGCCUAGUAAUAGUGUAAUAAUUACGAAUGCUUCAAAAAGGAAGAUAAUCUGAUCUAAUAAAUAGCAGCGCCUGGAUAACGUGUGACAGGAAAAUUGUAUGUCCUAAAUUUUUACAGCAAAAGAUUGACGGAAAAAGCAUACAGAUAAUUAAUUUUAUCAUACCAAAGAUCUAUCUGGUUUGCUACGGUUUCUCAUUCAUUCAAUAUUAGUUUUGACAGAACACAGGAACUAUGUGUCCUAGUAAUGACAGAAGACGAUAUUAUUUUACCUUCAACAUCAACAAGUUGCUCUUUCACAGUAGUCUCGGGUUGCUCUGUCUUCAAUUUUUCUCCAUCAACCAUACCCCCACUGGAACCUAGAACAAGAAUAUAGACCAUUAGAUAUAGCCUUGUUACCUGAGACUAAAAUGAUGAAUAUAUGUAUAAUUCGAGCCGAUUAGAGCAAAAACCUUACUUACGUCUUACAGAAGAUCGCUUCAUCUUUAAUGUAUCGUGUAAAGACUGAUGCCAACUGAUUUUUUUCAGGUACCGAGAAUGGUUAUAUAGAGAAGAGAGCCGGUAAAUCAAAGUAAGUCUUUUCUUUUCAUACUUUCCCAUAAGACAUGUCUCUAUCCACCAUCAAUCUUUCCGGAAUCAAACACCUGUGUUGGAUGGAACAUUUCACUUGAAUAGGACAUCCGUACCAUUCAACAUCAAACUUCAAGAAAAGAAUAGAUUAUUCCCUCUAGACUAAGGCGAAGCGAUUGGUAGGAAACUGGCAAGGCGUUGAAAAAUUUUAAUAGUCGGGCGGCUUCUUGACAGCAUCCCAAGGAGCAAAACACCUCGAGUAAGUGACGCUUUUUGAGAAAGCCCGACUUCCCAGUACUAGUAAGUUAGGAGAUAAGCAUCUUGAAAUUAUUUGUGUCACUUCUAUAACGCUAUUUUGUAAAAGAUUUUGGGACAUUCUUUAUGUCUAAGGGUUGAUCCUCCUUUUCUCCCACCAGCAGCAGCCUCAGAAAAACCAUAUCCUACAUGUUAUUUGCGAUUUUAGUCAUGAUGUUGUAUUACCUAAUCUAAUGAAAAAAGAACCCUAUGUUUCAAAUUAAGCUUCUACCAAAACUGCUUAUCGGAAUGGGAAAGGCCCGACUCUGAAAAUAGACUAUCCAGCUCUAUUAAUAUUUUCAAGGAAGUUUCACUGUCAAUCGUUUUUAUGAUCCAAAAGGCUUGUCCAUCCUAACACAGCUACGGGUCGAACUCAGUAAGCUAAAUGUUCAUCAAUUCAAACAUAAUUUUAGGGAUACUUUGAACCCUUUAUGCCAAACAAAUCGAAGCACUAUUUUCUGCGCUGCCAUACUUAUGAUGUAAAUAGAAGUGAUCUUCUCAACAGUGUACAUGCAAUAUUUUUGCCUCGUGGUUUGUUAAAAGUCAUCCAAUAUGGCCUUGAACAUCCAGGCCUCCGAAGGAUUCGAAUAAUGCAGGAACAAAAAUCUUUAAAUCUCCAUUCGUUUUUUAACAUUGUUGUUUGUGCUAGGAGGCUCUUGUUAUGUAGUAUAGCAGUUUCCAUUCAGUAAAGUUUUCGGUAGUCUCGUUUGUAACUUUUUAUAUCGAAUAAAAAAAACUUUUCAGCAUACUCUCUAUUGGAAAAGCAAAAACCUCGGUUUGCAUUUUGAUAUUAAAUUUCAAGCCGAACAAUUAUUAGACAAGAGGGGCAAUCAACAGGGCCUUGAGCACUUCAUUAGAUGCAGCUAGAGGUAGAGAACUUUAGCAACCUCCCUUCCUGAAAAGCUAGGGACCUCCCUUUCAUGUCAAAGGCCAUCUUUGUUGUUGGGAAGCAGCAGUGGAGACAUUUUCUUACAGAAGCGAGAAAAUUGUACUUCAGAGUGAGUGAAACUUGUGAGAUGUUAGAUGAUUGCCAGAGAUUCAUAUUUUUUCAAGGACCUCUUGAGAAUGUUAGCUGUCGUCCUAAUUUCCACUUGUGUAGUGAGCUCAAGAUGACUCGAAAUGACAUUUGAUUAUGACAUUUGAUUAAACAGGUAUUUUCCUUUAACCCCAGUUUAAAUUAAAUAUGGUAGACAUGAUUUCAAACAUAAUCUGUCUUUUCUAGCUCAAGGAACAUUAAAUUAUUGAGCAUAUUUCAUUAUUUCAUGAUUUCACCACACUAAAAAGACUUGUUUGAAAUUGUAGACACAGACUGAAUCUCAAUCUACCUAGCUGUUGCUGUGUGCCUAAUCUAGAAUUAUGGUCAACCAAUAUUGUGACACAGACUGAAUCUCAAUCUACCUAGCUGUUGCUGUGUGCCUAAUCUAGAAUUAUGGUCAACCAAUAUUGUGACACAGACUGAAUCUCAAUCUACCUAGCUGUUGCUGUGUGCCUAAUCUAGAUUUAUGAUCAACCGAUAUUGUGCUUUCCACUUGGCUGUCAGUAAAGAGCUUCUUCUCUUGGAAAAUCUUUUCCAGUUCUUUGGAGUCAGACUUUGUCUUCAGAAGCCACUGCUCCAGGAUAUCUAGCGGAUAGUUUAACAGUUUACACACGGCAAGCACCCG